rnacentral:rRNA from 1 species
UACGUAGGGUGCAAGCGUUGUCCGGAAUUAUUGGGCGUAAAGAGCUCGUAGGCGGUUUGUCGCGUCGAAUGUGAAAACCCGGGGCUCAACCCCGGGCCUGCAUUCGAUACGGGCAGACUAGAGUUCGGUAGGGGAGUCUGGAAUUCCUGGUGUAGCGGUGAAAUGCGCAGAUAUCUGGAGGAACACCGGUGGCGAAGGCGACAUCCUGGACCGGUAUUGACGCUGAGGCGCGAAAGCCAGGGGAGCAAACGGG